rnacentral:rRNA from 1 species
UACAGAGGGUGCGAGCGUUGUUCGGAAUUACUGGGCGUAAAGGGCUCGUAGGCGGCCCACUAAGUCCGACGUGAAAUCCCCAGGCUUAACUUGGGAACUGCGUCGGAUACUGGUGGGCUUGAAUCCGGGAGAGGGAUGCGGAAUUCCAGGUGUAGCGGUGAAAUGCGUAGAUAUCUGGAGGAGCACCGGUGGCGAAGGCGGCAUCCUGGACCGGCAUUGACGCUGAGUGAGCGAAAGCCAGGGGAGCAAACGGG